GACAUAAAGAUUCAGCUUGCUGAAUCCGGUGCUGACGAGCGGCGAACGGGUGAGUAACGCGUAGGAAUCUACCCAGUAGCGGGGGAUAGCCCGGGGAAACCCGGAUUAAUACCGCAUACGCCCUAAGGGGGAAAGGGGGCAGCUUGCUGCUCUUACUAUUGGAUGAGCCUGCGUAAGAUUAGCUUGUUGGUAGGGUAAUGGCCUACCAAGGCAACGAUCUUUAGCUGGUCUGAGAGGACGAUCAGCCACAUUGGGACUGAGACACGGCCCAGACAUCUACGGAUGGCAGCAGUUAAGAAUAUUGGACAAUGGGGGCAACCCUGAUCCAGGUAUACCGCGUGUGUGAAGAAGGCCCUAGGGUUGUAAAGCACUUUAAUCAGAGAAGAAGCAUUUUAAGUUAAUACCUUAUUAUGUUGACGUUACCUGAAGAAUAAGGACCGGCUAACUCCGUGCCAGCAGCCGCGGUAAUACGGAGGGUCCAAGCGUUAAUCGGAAUUACUGGGCGUAAAGCGCGCGUAGGCGGUUUAGCAAGUUGAAUGUGAAAGCCCUAGGCUCAACCUAGGAACUGCAUUCAAAACUACUGAGCUAGAGUACGAGAGAGGAGAGUAGAAUUUCUGGUGUAGCGGUGAAAUGCGUAGAUAUCAGAAGGAAUACCAAUGGCGAAGGCAGCUCUCUGGCUCGUCACUGACGCUAAGGUGCGAAAGCGUGGGUAGCAAACAGGAUUAGAUACCCUGGUAGUCCACGCCGUAAACGAUGAGAACUAGCCGUUGGACAGAUUUAACUGUUCAGUGGCGCAGCUAACGCAUUAAGUUCUCCGCC
rnacentral:rRNA from 1 species